rnacentral:rRNA from 1 species
AAUGGGCGCAAGCCUGAUCCAGCAAUGCCGCGUGUGUGAAGAAGGCCUUCGGGUUGUAAAGCACUUUUAUCAGGAACGAAAAGCGUUGGAUUAAUACUCUGACGUGCUGACGGUACCUGAGGAAUAAGCACCGGCUAACUUCGUGCCAGCAGCCGCGGUAAUACGAAGGGUGCAAGCGUUAAUCGGAAUUACUGGGCGUAAAGCGUGCGUAGAUGGUUCGCUAAGUCGGAUGUGAAAGCCCCGGGCUCAACCUGGGAACUGCAUCCGAUACUGGUGGACUAGAGUGUGAUAGAGGAUGGCGGAAUUCCCGGUGUAGCGGUGAAAUGCGUAGAGAUCGGGAGGAACAUCCGUGGCGAAGGCGGCCAUCUGGAUCAACACUGACGUUGAGGCACGAAAGCGUGGGGAGCAAA